GACUCAAUAGUCCAAUGGUAAAGCGCUCGUCGCGGAGCCGUAGGGUCCUGGGUUCGAUCCCCAACGGGGUCA
rnacentral:tRNA from 1 species